GUCCACACUGUAAACGAUGUGCACUAGGUGCUGGGGCGGAUGCUUCAGUGCCGGAGCUAACGCGGUAAGUGCACCGCCUGGGGAGUAUGCUCGCAAGGGUGAAACUCAAAGGAAUUGACGGGGGCCCGCACAAGCGGUGGAGCAUGUGGUUUAAUUCGAUGGUACGCGAGGAACCUUACCUGGGUUUGACAUACAGUGGAAUACGUCAGAGAUGACGUAGCGUAGCAAUACGUCGCUGUACAGGUGCUGCAUGGCUGUCGU
rnacentral:rRNA from 1 species